rnacentral:rRNA from 1 species
AUUGAACGCUGGCGGCAGGCCUAACACAUGCAAGUCGAGCGGAUGAAGGGAGCUUGCUCCUGGAUUCAGCGGCGGACGGGUGAGUAAUGCCUAGGAAUCUGCCUGGUAGUGGGGGAUAACGCCCGGAAACGGGCGCUAAUACCGCAUACGUCCUGAGGGAGAAAGUGGGGGAUCUUCGGACCUCACGCUAUCAGAUGAGCCUAGGUCGGAUUAGCUAGUUGGUGGGGUAAAGGCCUACCAAGGCGACGAUCCGUAACUGGUCUGAGAGGAUGAUCAGUCACACGGGAACUGAGACACGGUCCAGACUCCUACGGGAGGCAGCAGUGGGGAAUAUGGGACAAUGGGCGAAAGCCUGAUCCAGCCAUGCCGCGUGUGUGAAGAAGGUCUUCGGAUUGUAAAGCACUUUAAGUUGGGAGGAAGGGCAGUAAGUUAAUACCUUGCUGUUUUGACGUUACCAACAGAAUAAGCACCGGCUAACUUCGU